rnacentral:rRNA from 1 species
GGACACCCUGCCCUCGGGAGGGGGAUAACCCCGGGAAACUGGGGCUAAACCCCCAUAGGUGAUGGAUACUGGAAUGUUCCAUCACCGAAAGUCCGCAAGGAGCCCGAGGAUGGGUCUGCGGCGGAUUAGGUAGUUGGUGGGGUAACGGCCCACCAAGCCUAAGAUCCGUACGGGCCAUGGGAGUGGGAGCCCGGAGAUGGACCCUGAGACAAGGGUCCAGGCCCUACGGGGCGCAGCAGGCGCGAAACCUCCGCAAUGCGGGAAACCGCGACGGGGUCAGCCGGAGUGCCGAUGCUUGCAUCGGCUGUCGGGGAGCCUAAAAAGCUCCCCAUAGCAAGGGCCGGGCAAGGCCGGUGGCAGCCGCCGCGGUAAUACCGGCGGCCCGAGUGGCGGCCACUAUUAUUGGGCUUAAAGCGUCCGUAGCCGGGUUGGUUAGUCUCCCGGGAAAUCUGGCCGCUUAACGGUCAGAAUUCCGGGAGAUACUGCCAGCCUAGGGACCGGGAGAGGCCGAGGGUAUUCCCGGAGUAGGGGUGAAAUCCUAUAAUCCCGGGAGGACCACCUGUGGCGAAGGCGCUCGGCUGGAACGGGUCCGACGGUGAGGGACGAAGGCCAGGGGAGCAAACCGGAUUAGAUACCCGGGUAGUCCUGGCUGUAAACGAUGCGGACUUUGUGUCGGACAAGCUAUGAGCUUGUCCGGUG